rnacentral:misc_RNA from 1 species
GAAAAAAUGGCAACGCUCACAAUGUUAUUGAAAAAUGUGGCUGAAAAAUUCCCUACCCGCAACGCAGUAUCUGUUUCGGGAAGAUUCAUCGUCACGCAUAAAAGGCUACAACAACUUAUCGAACAAGCCGCGUCUCUACUCGUUGCUGCUGGUAUUCAGCCCGGUGAUGUAGUCGCUCUCACAUUUCCCAAUACUAUCGAGUUUGUGGUUAUGUUUCUAGCUGUGAUUCGAGUUCGAGCCACAGCAGCGCCAUUGAAUUCAGCGUAUAUGCCUGAAGAAUUCGAGUUUUAUUUAUCAGAUUCUGAGUCUAAACUGUUGUUAAUUGCGAAAGAAGGAAAUAAGGCAGCUGAAGCAGCGGCUGCAAAGCUCAAUAUUACUCGGAUUAAGGUGUCUGUGCCCAGUUCCGAUUCCGAUGUGAUUCUCAGCCUGAGUAUUCCGUUAUCAGAUUGUGAUUUGGUUUCUGAAAUUGUGAAUGAUCCAUCCGAUGUUGCACUUUUUCUACAUACAUCAGGCACUACCAGCAGACCAAAAGGCGUUCCCAUAACACAGCACAAUUUAGUAUCAUCUGUGAACAAUAUUAAAUCGGUUUACAAACUCACUGAAUCGGACUCUACAGUAAUCGUCUUGCCACUGUUUCAUGUUCAUGGGUUGAUUGCGGGUGAAUAUUACCAAAUUCAAUCAAUUAGUACUCGUAAUUCAUUUUGACCUAAGCAAAAUUUUUGAUACAUUGCAGGAUUACUGAGCUCGCUUGGUGCUGGAGGAUCUGUAACGCUCCCUGCUUCUGGUAGAUUCUCUGCUUCAUCUUUCUGGUCUGAUAUGCUCAAGUCCAACGCCACUUGGUACACCGCGGUGCCUACCAUUCACCAGAUCCUAUUAGACCGUCAUUUCAGCAAUCCAGAGUCUUCUUACCCGAGACUCCGGUUCAUUAGGAGUUGUAGUGCUGCUCUUGCACCAUCCGUAUUGGCACGGUUAGAGGAAGCAUUUGGUGCGUCUGUUUUAGAGGCAUAUGCAAUGACAGAGGCA